rnacentral:rRNA from 1 species
AACGUACGCUGGCGGCACGCCUAACACAUGCAAGUCGAACGAAGUAGCAAUACUUAGUGGCAGACGGGUGAGUAACAUGUAGGUAUCUGCCCUUUGGCCUGGAAUAACACGAGGAAACUUGUGCUAAUACCGGAUAAGUCUUUACGGAGAAAGCUUUAUGCACCAUUGGAUGAGCCUGCACUUGAUUAGUUUGUUGGUGGGGUAAUGGCCUACCAAGACUGUGAUCAAUAGCUGAUUUGAGAGGAUGAUCAGCCACAUUGGGACUGAGACACGGCCCAAACUCCUACGGGAGGCAGCAGUGGGGAAUCUUGCACAAUGGAGGAAACUCUGAUGCAGCGAUGCCGCGUGAGUGAAGAAGGCCCUUGGGUUGUAAAGCUCUUUCGUCGGGGAAGAAAAUGACUGUACCCGAAUAAGAAGGUCCGGCUAACUUCGUGCCAGCAGCCGCGGUAAUACGAAGGGACCUAGCGUAGCUCGGAAUUACUGGGCUUAAAGAGUUCGUAGGUGGUUGAAAAAGUUAGUGGUGAAAUCCCAGAGCUUAACUCUGGAACUGCCAUUAAAACUUUUCAGCUAGAGUAUGAUAGAGGAAAGCAGAAUUUCUAGUGUAGAGGUGAAAUUCGUAGAUAUUAGAAAGAAUACCAAUUGCGAAGGCAGCUUUCUGGAUCAUUACUGACACUGAGGAACGAAAGCAUGGGUAGCGAAGAGGAUUAGAUACCCUCGUAGUCCAUGCCGUAAACGAUGUGUGUUAGACGUUGGAAAUUUAUUUUCAGUGUCGCAGGGAAACCGAUAACACACCGCCUGGGGAGUACGACCGCAAGGUUAAAACUCAAAUGAAUUGACGGGGACCCGCACAAGUAGUGGAGCAUGUGGUUUAAUUCGGAGAUACGCGCAGAACCUUACCAACACUUGACAUGUUCGUCGCGACUCUAAGAGAUUAGAGUUUUCGGUUCGGCCGGACGAAACACAGGUGCUGCAUGGCUGUCGUCAGCUCGUGUCGUGAGAUGUUGGGUUAAGUCCCGCAACGAGCGCAACCCUCACUUUUAGUUGCCAUCAUUAAGUUGGGCACUCUGAAAGAACUGCCAGUGAUAAGCUGGAGGAAGGUGGGGAUGACGUCAAGUCCUCAUGGCCCUUACGUGUUGGGCUACACACGUGCUACAAUGGUAUCUACAACAGGAAGCAAGACUGCGAAGUUAAGCAAAUCCCUAAAAGAUACCUCAGUUCGGAUUGCACUCUGCAACUCGAGUGCAUGAAGCUGGAAUUACUAGUAAUCGUGGAUCAGCGUGCCACGGUGAAUGCGUUCCCGGGUCU